rnacentral:rRNA from 1 species
ACGGGAGGCAGCAGUGGGGAAUAUUGGACAAUGGGGGAAACCCUGAUCCAGCGACGCCGCGUGAGUGAUGAAGUAUUUCGGUAUGUAAAGCUCUAUCAGCAGGAAAGAUAAUGACGGUACCUGACUAAGAAGCACCGGCUAAAUACGUGCCAGCAGCCGCGGUAAUACGUAUGGUGCAAGCGUUAUCCGGAUUUACUGGGUGUAAAGGGAGCGCAGACGGCAUGGCAAGCCAGAUGUGAAAGGCAGGGGCUCAACUCCUGGACUGCAUCUGGAACUGUCAAGCUAGAGUAUCGGAGAGGUAAGUGGAAUUCCUAGUGUAGCGGUGAAAUGCGUAGAUAUUAGGAGGAACACCAGUGGCGAAGGCGGCUUACUGGACUGUAACUGACGUUGAGGCUCGAAAGCGUGGGGAGCAAACAGGAUUAGAUACCCUGGUA